AUUGAACGCUGGCGGCAUGCCUUACACAUGCAAGUCGAACGGCAGCACGGGAGCAAUCCUGGUGGCGAGUGGCGAACGGGUGAGUAAUAUAUCGGAACGUGCCCGGUCGUGGGGAUAACGUAGCGAAAGCUACGCUAAUACCGCAUACGAUCUACGGAUGAAAGCGGGGGAUCGCAAGACCUCGCGCGAUUGGAGCGGCCGAUAUCAGAUUAGGUAGUUGGUGAGGUAAAGGCUCACCAAGCCGACGAUCUGUAGCUGGUCUGAGAGGACGACCAGCCACACUGGGACUGAGACACGGCCCAGACUCCUACGGGAGGCAGCAGUGGGGAAUUUUGGACAAUGGGCGCAAGCCUGAUCCAGCCAUUCCGCGUGCAGGAUGAAGGCCCUCGGGUUGUAAACUGCUUUUGUACGGAACGAAAAGGUUUGUCUUAAUACGAUGAGCUCAUGACGGUACCGUAAGAAUAAGCACCGGCUAACUACGUGCCAG
rnacentral:rRNA from 1 species